rnacentral:lncRNA from 1 species
AAGUUGUUGUCAUCUUUGAUUUGCAAUUCUCAUUUUGGCACAGUGGUAUAGUUUUCCCUUGUUAUCCCUACUUGAUUUUUCUUAUGCUCUUUGCUCGAUUGUUAUACUUUUCAAUUCAUUUUUACUUCAAAAUAUGAAUUAUUUUCAAAUUUUCUAUAAAAGCACGAGAGUUAGUGACUUUAUCACUUAUCACAAACACCAAAAAGGAAAGGCUUGAGACAACAAUUCACAUCCAUAAGAAGCAAAUUGGACCGAUGGAGGAAGCCUAUCUGGAAAGAAUCGACUUCUUCCAUCUCUCUUUUGCAACUCCAGCAGCUUCUCUUUUUUCUUACCUACAUCUGUCAGGCGACAAAUUUCUAAAGGACUUCGGCGGGCUCGAGCAGCACAAGGCCAUGACAGCCAUCAAGAAAGCUGCCAGGGGACGUAUAAGUUACAUUAAUUAAUAAUAUCACAUCACCUAAAGUAAUUGUUUUCAACUUACC